rfam:Salmo salar isolate Sally breed double haploid chromosome ssa28, whole genome shotgun sequence.
UUCCCUGUGGCUCAGUUGGUAGAGCAUGGUGUUUGCAAUGCCAGCAUGGUGUGUGCAACGCCAGGGUUGUGGGUUCGAUUCCCACGGGGGACC